GAUGAACGCUGGCGGCGUGCCUAAUACAUGCAAGUCGAGCGAAGCGGGGACGGGUGAGUAACACGUGGAUAACCUCCUAUAAGACUGGGAUAACUUCGGGAAACCGGAGCUAAACCGGAUACUUAUAGAUGGAUCCGUGUGGCAUUAGCUAGUUGGUAAGGUAACGGCUUACCAAGGCAACGAUGCAUAGCCAACCUGAGAGGGUGAUGGGCCACACUGUGACUGAGACACGGGCCAGACUCCUACGGGAUGCAGCAGUGGGGAAUAUUGCGCAAUGGGCGCAAGCCUGAAGCAGCAAUGCCGAGUGUAUGAAGAAGGCCUUAGGGUUGUAAAGUUCUUUCAGCGGGGAGGCGUUAACCACAGAGGAAGCACCGGCUAACUCCGUGCCAGCAGCCGCGGUAAUAC
rnacentral:rRNA from 1 species